UGAGUGUCUACUGUCGCGCCACCAGCGUUGCAGGGAAGAAAACACACUCACCCGGCGCGGUCGUUGUCGUACCGACGACUCCUCGAAGUUUGAAUUUCCGAGCAGUGCCUCGUUCCUAGAGCCCCUCGGUUAGAAAAUGCACACGAUCUGUUGGCACUGUUGGCACAGAUGGUGAAUUCGAUAGUCGACGGUGAAAAGUGUAAAAAAUAUGAGUGAAAUUUGCAAAUCUGUGACAUGAGACUCGGUUCAAUUGGAAGCUAAGAUUUUGUGGAAAGGGCUUUGCUUUUCUUCAAUUUUAUUGAAUGCAAUUGCAGUUGAUAUAAUCUUGAAACAGAAGUAUUAACUGUACUGAAAGAAAGGUUCUCUUUCAAAGUCUGGCAGCAUCAAAAUAAAACAGUGCUAUUACAGUUCUGCUACUGUUAGAUCAUGUAGUAUUUGUGGCUUAUUGUAUGCAACAGAAGUAUUAACUGUACUGAAGUCUGGCAGCAUCAAAAUAAAACAGUGCUGUUACAGUCCUGGUACUGUUAGAUCA